CAGUCGCCGCGGGAAUACGAAGGGGGCUAGCGUUGCUCGGAAUGACUGGGCGUAAAGGGCGCGCAGGCGGAUUGUUUAGUUAGGCGUGAAAUUCCUGGGCUUAACCUGGGGACUGCGCUUAAUACAGGCAGUCUAGAGUGAGGAAGAGGGUUGUGGAAUUCCCAGUGUAGAGGUGAAAUUCGUAGAUAUUGGGAAGAACACCGGUGGCGAAGGCGGCAACCUGGUCCUUGACUGACGCUGAGGCGCGAAAGCGUGGGGAGCAAACAGGAUUAGAUACCCCCGUAGUCCCUGUCUCUUAUAC
rnacentral:rRNA from 1 species